AGGUGAUGUCAGUAUUCAGGUUAGAGUUUGAAAUUCAGUGAACAGGGUAGACCACACUGAAAAGGUGAUUUUUUUUUAGGGCCACACCCACAGCAUAUGGAGGUUCCCAGGCUAAGGGUUGAACUGGAGCUGUAGCUGCCAGCCUACACCACAGCUGCAGCAACGUGGGAUCUGAGCAAUGCUGGAUCCUUAACCCACUGAGUGAGACCAGGGAUCAAACCGUCAAACUCAUGGUUACUAGUUGGAUUCGUUUCUGCUGCACCACAAAGGGAACUCGCUGAGAAGGUCAAAAUAGCCAUGCAGAUCCCUAAAGGGGUAAAUGGUUGGCCUGAGUAAGAUGAAGAUGUACCUGUGUGCACAGCGGGUAGAAAGAUUUGACUCAUCAGGACUCUGGACCAAUUGCUAUUUCAGUGUUAGCUUCUAUUUUCCCCAAUGUAUUUCCAUCCAUGAAGUAUUUCUCCAUCUCUCUACCUUAUCCCUGUUCUUUCUUUUUUACAUUUCCCUCUAAUCUAAAUCACAAACACAGUGUCAAGGUUAAGUCUUCUUUUAAAUCUUUUCGGUUUAACUUUUAUGAAGAAAAAUAUCCACCAAGAACAAUGCCUAAAAACAAAUAAUCAAAUAAAUUCAGCAGGACAUCUUGCUGAUGAAACAUAAGAUAACAGCCUUGUCAUCUUAUACACAUAUUUACAAAUCCUUGAGGGGUUGAUAAAGAAUGAUUAUAUAUGUACUGCCAAGCUAUACUUGAACUCCCAGUUUGGGGUUCAUUUCACAUUCCUUCCUAUUGAUAUUGUUUUUGUACUCAAAAUUAUAAAGUUGUUAAAUGAAGUGGCACCAAAUUUCACUGAAGGAGGAGGGAGAGGAAAGAAUUUUUAUUCAAUUAUCCUUACAACUUUCAGCUCAUUUGUACAUUAUAAUUUCUUUCUUGGAAUCACCUGCCUCCAUCUUGAACAGGAGAGAGAGAGAGAGACUCUAACACUUUGACAAGCAAAGUACUUGAAUAAUGAUUUCACUUCUCACUCAGAAUAAAUUAGCAAGAUGCUUUUGAAGCUAUUUUGUUAAUAUCACUUCAUACCGCAUAUUUCAUGCAAAAAAGAAAAAGUGAGACACUUCAGUACUGACCAUUUAUACUUCUCUUUCUAAUCCACAAUAUGGUACUUUCUCAGUUUGCAAAGUCUCUUUCUGUAAUUAAGAAAAUAAUAUUCUGAAUCUAUUUUAAGUUUUUGACAUGAGCAAAAAAUACUGGGUGCAAUUGAAACAAGUAGCUGAAAAUUGGUGUUUUUAAUUUUAUUUAAAUCUAGGCAAAAUCAAUUUUUAGAGCAUAGGGCUUAGUUUUCAUUCCUGACCCACACUGUCAAGGAUAUCUAAAAAGAUGGGAUAGAUUUCACAAUAACUGAUGCAGAUCAAGGAAGGAAUAAAUCUUAAGCUUGCAACUACCGGUGACCAUGAGGAGACUUCUGUAGGUGAUCAUCAGAGGGGAAGUCCUAUGAUUGAAGCAUCUCACUUAGAAAGCUAAACCAAUGAUGAUGGCAGCAUAAUCAGAAAAAGGGAGAUCAAUCAGGGGAGACAGAUAAAAUGAGGUGCAAAAAAAGUCCUACAAAGCAGUAGAAAUGGGGGCUUAAAUUUGCCAGCCUCAAAUAGCAAGGAAAAGUUUGAGAGGAGGGAAGACAAGUAAGGGAGCUGGGAAAGAAGGAAGGAGAAAGGAGAGCUUUAAAGCAGAGUAGAGCAAGGCAGUGGAGGGCCAGAUCAACCCAGCUCCCUUGGUAUCCUAUGAUGUAAAAAUGAACAGGCUUAUUAAAAAGACAUUUAUACUGAAAUAAGUAGGUAGUAUAGCAUAAAGGUUAAAAUCACAUACUCUGGAUUCAAACCCUGUUUUCAUUUGGUACCAGCUAAGAUCCUAGGACAGUCCUUAUCUUUGAAGUCCUCACUUUCCUUAUCUGCAAAUUUCAAUAUUAUGUGUCUAACUCACUAGGUUACUACAGAAUUAAUAAUUCCUGUUAUACAUUUAUUAUAGUACCUGGAGUACAGCAACAAUUGACUUAUAACUUACCUAUUAUUCUGAUUUCAAGCUUACAAAGUAUUUGGAAAACUUUAUGCUGUAACUUACCCGAAUUCACUUUUUCUAUAAACCAUUGCAUAUCAUGUUUAACCCCACAUGAAAUAUUUAAAUAUCAACUAUAUAAACAGAAAACUCAUUUUUUCAUAUCCCUCUGGAUACAACUGACUGCAGGUAAACUCUAAAGAAAAGCUGAUUUCUUAUGCCACUAAGAUUAAUGUCCCAUCUCCCAAUUUUGGGUAGCACUUUCACCCUAGUGAAACCAAAGCUCUCAAGCUAUUGAUACCAUUUUGCAAAAUCAAUUUGUACAAUGUGAAGACACCAUUACAGAGGAUUUGCCUAGAGAUGACUCUCAUUAUCAAAAUGAAUAUAGUAUGGGAUGUGGAAAAGUGGGUGGUCCUUUGAAUCACCAGCAUCCUUUCUGUAUUACUGAGCUACUAGACAACACUCUACCUCAACAACUUGUUUCUUCUCUGCUCUUCUCUUCCUGGUUCUGCUACCAUCAUUCCUCAGGGGACUCCUAAUGGUGAACUCUAUUGGUUUCACACAGUUAGUAUUUUCCACUUCCUGGCAUUCUUGACUAGUUUUUUUUUUUUUUUUUUUUUUUUUUUUUUUUCCCAAAUACAUGCUGACAGUGUAAUAGCUCUAUUGUUAUUUCCCAUUAUUAUCACAACAAAUAUCAGGUCUGUAUAUAUGCCUACAGGAUUUUAUCCACAGCCUCAUUCUUUUCUUCAUUUUCCCUUCAUGUGCUCUCUCCAUAACCUAAUCAUACUAGUUUUCCUGCAGUUUGGAGAAGGAGCCUAACUCUCUCCUGCUCCAGUACCUAAGCACUGGCUUCCGUUCUCCAACUUCUUUUCUGCUGGGGCCUAGGUUGCUCUUCUCCAAAUUCAUGACAAUUUUCCAGUGAAUCUCCAACACAUUCUUCAGCUCUUACCUGGAAUUUUUCUUCGUCACUCCACCUUUGCUCUGUUCCCACCCCAUACAAAUUCAAAUGCCCUCCUUAUCAUUGUCCCAGAAUCUUGUAUCUUCUCUUCCUGACCCUAAAAUAUAAAAUAACCUCUCUAAUUCCCUCCUAGGCUUUUCUAUAAAUACCCUAUUUGAAUUGCACCUGCCAUUAUAGAUAUAUUAUCCUUCUGGUUAUUUAUUAUUCAUUUCCCUAUUAGAAUUUAAAUCGCAUUGAAACUAAUACUUUGUAUUAUCUCACCUUUAGAUUCUCAGCAUCUAUGGAGUAGAUGAGAAAUGUAAAUGUUUUAUGUAUCGAUAAAUAAAUAUAAGUUUCAGGAAGCAUAUGUGGCUCUUUAACCUAGGGGACCUUCCCCCUAGCUAGGAGAGGUAGGUGAUGUGUCUCUAUUUACCUGUGAUGAAACCAGCUAAGAGAGGUUAAACAUGUUUCCAAGAGUCUACAUCCAAUAGGUAACAGCAGAGAUUAAAAUGUAUCUUUAAUUUAGAAAUCCAAGGCUCUAUUCAAAAAUUCAUGCUGCUUCUUACUGGCUGCUCAGUUUCUUGCACUGUGAUCCUAUAACUGCCCAAAUGAACUCACCUCAUGUUUCUGCCCUGCUAGACCUGCUCUGCUGCUUUCUGCACUAAGUUCCCCAGACCUUAGCAGUUCCUUCAUUCUUGGCUGAAGAAACUUGGACUCAUUUCCUUACAGAACCAUUCCUAUCGAACUCUACACAUUGCUCUCUCGCCCCACCUACAAAGGGUGCAAAUAUGAAGACUGUCAGAAUCCAAACAUGAGUCGAAGCUUCCGCUAUGCUUAGAUUCCUUCUUGACCGAGUUAUUUAUCUCCAGAUGAUAUAUUAAUAACCCUUGAAAGAUUAGUUUCAACCAAUACAAAUAAAUCUUUCUUUCUGACCAAAGAAAUGUAGUCAUGGGAUAUUUUGUCCAUAAAUGUUAAGCAUGUUGAGGUUGUCUGAAAUAACGGAGAGAGAAAAAGGAGGGACGGUGUUUUUUGUUUGGCCCUUCUUUCCUGUUUUUUUUUUCCUUGGAUACAUUUUAUCUAUGGCCUUCUCAUUGGAAGUUAAAAUAGCCCAGAAAAUUAGAUUUCUCUGCCUUUUACAAAUGUGGAUUUGAAGCAUGCUGUUCCCAGAAGCCUAAACCUUUCAUCUUUAUCAACAGUAGCAUACACCUCCCAUAAGCAUUUCAGAGCCUGGGUACUACCUCCCAUUUAACCUGUGAGAGGGAAACAUAGCUUCUUGUAUAGAUCGAUGAGGCGCAAACUGCCUAUUUUAAAUAUCAGAAUGACUUUAAAUGUUCAUCAUUUGAUGUCCUUAAGGGAUAAUACAAAGAAAUGCAUAAUAUUAAGAACAGGGCAUGAAUAUGUAUAUCCAGAUUAUGUAUAAAUGAUAUAUAAUCACUUGUUAACCUUUAUAUUCCUUUUUAGAAUAAGUUUUAAAUGAGUAAGUCUAGGAGGAAUGAACUGUCUUUUGCCCUUUCCCUUCCCUAGGAGUUUUAUAGUUCAACACUCCCCUCCAUUUAAAAAAUAUGGUUUUAAUAUUCUUUUCAGAAUGAGUUUCACACUUUAUUGUAGUUCACAUAAUAUCCAAACACAUUCUAAGUGGGUAUUUCAAUUGUGAGUGUUCAAUUAUUGUUGUUAGAACAGAAGUUAUGGCAAGAAAUAAAAUCCUGUUCUGCCACAUUUAUCACACUUGGCACUUGAGGUGAUGAGGGUGGACACAGACCAUUCUCAUCCAUUCUCAGAGCCUGAAAAAUGGCACCCAUAGAUAUCUCUACAGUAAGUAAACCAGGGUAUUGGAGAGCCAACUCAGAAAAAAUGGAAUUCUUCUAGUUUAAGGGAAGAAGGUGGAUUCCUACCCACGCAGACACUUGAUUCCUGAGGCACUGUUGAAAAAACUCUUGAUGUUCAGCUUGGAAAUUCAUAAUCCAUUCUAGCCUCCCUGGGUUAAGUUGCAGAAAACAGAGGUCCAGUGUAGCUCUGUGACUUGCCAAAGUGACUGAGGCACAGUCAACAGGUGAGAUUAGAACUAUAGAAGGUAGUUUGUUCUCGCUGUGUCACCAGGGCUCCACAGUACUGGACUUUUACUCGUCAAAUGGUUAACUGAAUUUUUAAGUACUCUGAUUGGUUUGAGUUUAUGAGACCUCCUUGAUUCAGCCUUUUGAUACUAUUUCUAACAGGGCAUAAAAUGUCAAAAAGUAAAACUAUAUAUUAAAAAUACCAUUGUGACAUUAAAUAAUUGAAUAACUAUAUAUUGUUCUUCUGAGUUUCUCAUUGGUUAGAAGCAAAGAACUAAAUCAUGAGUCCAAAAGCCACUAUCUUUGUCAUUCCAGCACUUACAGACCUAGUGUCAACUUACACACUGGCAUUAAGUAAACAUUAAAAUAAAUGUAACAUUGUAACUGAUUAAGAUGAUAAAAAUGUGGCACAUGACAAUGUAAUGGCCUAUAGCAAGACCUUCUCUUACUCUGAAGCACCAGAGAGGAUGUAGAGAUAUCUUGAAUGGAAAUAAAUGGUUUAAGAGGACAAAUGUUGUUGACGUUGAAAACUAAUUGUCUUGUUUCAUUUAAAAAUGUUUCUGUAGUUUUACAUAAGUCCGUGAGGCUUUUUCUCCAGUUUUAUGACAAAACAUACCAUAGGCAUAAUAGUUCAAAUUCAUAACGAUAUGCUUUUACAAAAUAACCAUUUAUUUCUAUGAUCUCACUAAAGAUAACUAUAUAAAUACUAUAUGUGAAUGAACAUGCUCUAUUCUAAUAUAUGAUGUAUGACUUAUCCCAGGCAUGCAAAUUUUUUCUUCUCUUUAGCGGUAAACUCUGCAUUAUAUUGAAGGAAAAUAUCUUCAAUACAGGCUAAACAGAAAAAAUAAAAGUAGUUUCUAUUGAAUAAAUAGCUUUGGGAUAAAGUUCUUUCUGCAACAGGUUGUAUAGGGGUGUUUUUUUUUCAUGAAUUUAAUACUAUCAUUUCUAUCAUUCAGUUACUCAUAAUUACAGUUCACUAGCAAAUCAUGGAAGUGAACAAUACAUAUAUUUCCUUCUGAUAGAUACAGAGAGAGAGAAUAUUAAAAAGACUGAAAGCUAAUCCAUCACAGGCCUUGUCCCACUGCUGGAAAUAAUAACGUGAACAUCCCCAAAAUAAAGCAGCAUAUUGGGUGUUCCUGCUGUGGCGCAAUAGGAUUUGGGGGUGUCUUAGGAGCACUGGGAUGCAGGUUUGAUCCCUGGCCUAUCACAGUAGGUUAAGGAUCCUGCAUUGUUGCACCUGUGGCUUAGGCCAUAACUCUAGCACAGAUUUGAUCCCUGGCCUGGGAACUUCAUAUGCCAUG
rnacentral:lncRNA from 1 species